GCGAAUACGCGCAGCGAUUAUAUACUUGAUCUAGAUAUACUACGUGGAUGAUUGUGGAAUUCUAGAGCUAAUACAUGCACCAAAGCUCCGAAUUUUUGACGAGCGCAUGUAUUAGAUUAAAACCAAUCGGGUUUCGGCCCGUUUGUUGGUGAUUCUGAAUAAAUUUGGCUAGUCGCAGUGAAACAAACCGGGAUCUUGACAUGUAAGGGUGUGCAAUAGGUAAAGGGGAUGUUCACAAGCGGUGGUUCAGGAGGGUGGUCGCAGUGCCUAGAACAGGAGUUCGACUCCGGAGAGGGAGCCUGAGAAACGCCCCCUCACAUCCAAGGAAGGCCGCUGGUCCCCCUAUUAACCCUUCCGGGCGUGAGGAGGUAGUGACGAAAUAGAAAGAGACCGUUCUGCUUGAGGUCGGGAAUUGGAAUGGGUAUCAUUUCAACCCGUUAACGAGGAUCUAUGACAGCGACCGUCUGGUGCCCGCAGACCCGGGAAUUCCCGCUCCUCAAAGGGUGUCUCGGCCAGGCGGCGUUUCCCAGCUUGGAGUUAGUUAUGCGCCUGAUGCCUGGUCGGGGCGCCGUGCAGAAAUCGGUUCCAGGGCCAGUUUUGCGGGUUUCCCUACCCGGCACCGAAAGAAUUUGGGAUUCCGGGCAAGCGGCCUUUCCAAGGAAAAAAUAAGGGUGCUGAACGCGGGUUUGUAUCUGUAAACGCGCGCACUAGGGACGAAACAGGACCCCCGCGCACCUUGACGGUGGUCCGGAUAAGAGAAGGCUUUCUAGGAAAGGCGUGGGCGUCCGGACUCCUUGCUCCGGACCAGAAAUUUUUGGUCUGUAGGCGAGGAGAUCCGAAUUGCCCCAAUCCGUUUCUCUUGAAUGUUUUUCUUUAUUCAGAAACAACAGCAGAAGGUGCGAGGACACAUAUAAUAGCCCCAGUGCGGACGUACAGCAUACCAGCUCGGGUUAGGCGUCGAUAUAUACAACUUGAACGCGGGUCCCGCAGCUAAAUAUAUCGUACUGGGAAAUCGUGUCAUAUCUCAAGAUACAGAUUGACCUAGGCGACGCUGAGGUGCGACUCUACUACUAUCAAGCGCAAGACAUUUGCUCGCACUGGAGACGGUUAUCCAGGGCUAUCAAAU
rnacentral:rRNA from 1 species